AGUCAUUCCAUUGAUACUUCAUUGAUUUUGGGGUUGGAUGUAUGGCUUGCUUUAGCCAUGGAAUGUCAGCAAUGUUAUACAAUAUAAUACAAGCAAAAGCUUGAAAUGUGCUGUAUGAUGGGGCUUGCCCUCCUGUGCUUCUGCAAUUUCCAUGAAAAUAACAUACCGUGGCCAUGCUUCUAGUCCACAGAGGUUGAAAGACACAUGAAGCAGAUCUGGACCCAACUUUUAGCUUUGAACCAAGCCAAGCCCAGCAUAGAUCAGCCAAUUCUCAGCUGACUUGCAGAUGUGUGAGCAAGGAUCAACGAUUACUGUUUUAAGCCACUAGUUUUGGGAUGAUUUAAUGACGUUUAUUAUUAUGGUAAUAUAUGACUGUUAUAGCUUUUGUUACUUGUGCAUAACUUGGAUAGCCAUUUAUUUCUUUUGCAGAAACAAUACUCCAGUGGGAUAAAUGAAAGAUUAAAGCUAAAAGUCUGACUGGUAGAUGCAGCUCCAGGUCUUGUUUAUGAGACAGGCUUAUGUUCAAAUCAUACUUGCUGUGUGACCAAGACAGUAGCCCAGAUCUGGUUCCCAGACAAAACACAUCAUUGCUUAGCCUUGGAGACAGUUUCAUCAUGAUCUUCAAACGGUUUUGUUUCCAUAGUAGAAUCCAAAGAGAUGCUACUUUCAAAUAACGCUGUCAUGAUUGUUCUCUAAAUCAGUAGCUUCAAUUUUUAAAAAUGAUUCUACUAUUCUAAAAUAGAAUUUUAUUCAUUUCCUGUAUUGCUGUAAUAUAUUAUCACAAACUUGGUGACUUAAAACAACACAAUUUAUCAUCCUUCAGUUGUGGAGGUCAGAAACCCUGAAACCAAGUGGUUGAUAGGACCUCAUUCUCUCUGCAGUCUGUAGGAGAAUGCAUUUCCUUGACGUUUCCAGCUUCUAGAGGUCAUCUGCAUUUAUUGCCUUGUGGUUCCAUCCUCCAUCUUCAAAGCCAGUAGGGUAGUAUCUUCAGAUGUCUCUUUCUCUGACUUUUCUUCUUCUUGGACUCCGUAACUAUCCUGCUUCCUCCCUCCUUCUUUCCCUUAUAAAGGUCUUUGUGGUUACACUGAACAUACAUGGUAGUCCAGGAUAACAUACUCAUAUCAAGAUUCUUAACUAUCACAUUUGCAAUGUCCAUUUUGAUACGUCAGGUAACACAUUCACAGAUUUUGACUAUUUGGAUUUAGACAUCAUUGGGAGGCUAUUCUGUCUACUGUAAGGACCAAGACCAUAGAGAUCCAAAAAUCUCCACUGUUUUCCAACUUUCACCAAAAUAAAGAUCUGAAAAGGAAUUAUUUUUGCAGAAAACUUGUUGCUAGCAAUGCACAUAAAUAGCUUAUUAUUUGCUUGAUAAGAAAAUAGUUCAAGUUGUUUAUAUAAUUUCUGUAUUUUAAAAAUAC
rnacentral:lncRNA from 10 species